rnacentral:rRNA from 1 species
GACGAACGCUGGCGGCGUGCUUAACACAUGCAAGUCGAGCGGUAAGGCCCUUUCGGGGGUACACGAGCGGCGAACGGGUGAGUAACACGUGGGUGACCUGCCCUCAGCUCUGGGAUAAGCCUGGGAAACCGGGUCUAAUACUGGAUAUGACUCCAUGACGCAUGUUGUGGGGUGGAAAGCCUUGUGCGGCUGAGGAUGGGCCCGCGGCCCAUCAGCUUGUUGGUGGGGUGANGGCCUACCAAGGCGACGACGGGUAGCCGGCCUGAGAGGGCGACCGGCCACACUGGGACUGAGACACGGCCCAGACUCCUACGGGAGGCAGCAGUGGGGAAUCUUGGGCAAUGGGCGCAAGCCUGACCCAGCAAUACCGCGUGAGGGAUGAAGGCCUU